rnacentral:rRNA from 1 species
CCUACGGGAGGCAGCAGUGGGGGAUAUUGGACAAUGGGGGGAACCCUGAUCCAGCGACGCCGCGUGAGUGAAGAAGUAUCUCGGUAUGUAAAGCUCUAUCAGCAGGGAAGAAGAUAUGACGGUACCUGAGUAAGAAGCCUCGGCUAACUAAGUGCCAGCAGCCGCGCUAAUUCGUAGGGGGCAAGCGUUAACCGGAAUUACUGGGUGUAAAGGGAGCGUAGGCGGUGAUGUAAGUCUGGCGUGAAAUGCGUGGGCCCAACCCCCGGACUGCUCUGGAAACUAGGUGACUGGAGUGAGAUAGAGGUAAGCGGAAUGCCUGGUGUAGCGGUGAAAUGCGUAGAUAUAAGGAAGAACACCAGUGGCGAAGGCAGCUCACUGGACUGAAACUGACGUUGAGGGUCGAAAGCGUGGGGAGCAAACAGGAUUAGAUACCCUAGUAGUC